GCACCCAUAGCUCAAUUGGAUAGAGCAUUUGACUACGAAUCAAAAGGUUUGAGGUUCGAAUCCUCAUGGGUGUA
rnacentral:tRNA from 1 species